AACUUUAGCCUACAACGGUAUUGGAAAUUAUGUUUCGGAUCACGGGUCACUAAGGUGCAUGUAACGUAGCAUGAAGAUUAGCAUAUUUAUAAAAGCCCUUUUCCCCUCUUGCGUCAAGUUAGCGAAAGUUUUAUUUAUUGUGUUGAUAAGAAGAUGAAGCAGGACUAUCAGGCUGUGUGAGCAGGCUACUCCUGCACAGAACAUCGGCCUCCGAUAAACACACAUCCCUCUUCGCUGCUCCUCAGUCAGCUGGGAAGAGACCACACACACGCAGCCUACACACAGUAGGCCUAUGCACAAAAACAAACACUCAUCAAGCAGCAUUGUGUAAUAGCAGUCAGGGCGCUUCUGUAAAAAACACCUAAAUGUGUAAAUUGUUUUUUUUCCACCUGCCGUGUCUCGCCUUAAUUUAUAAAAACAAACAUGAAACGUAGGUGUCUGUGCUGCCUUUGUAAGACAACUUAAAUUAGAAAAGCCCGAAUAAUUCCAAACACAACGGUCAUUGGAGAAAGGCAGGAAGGCAAAGCAAAGCAAAGGCAAAGU